UUGCUGUGUUCUGACUCCCCAGGGCAGGAAAGAGAUUCUUGGAGCCUUUUUCCUCCGCGAACAGCAGCGAGGCUAACAGAGGGAGUUUCACUGGGAUCUGUCCGAGAGGAGGUACACUAAGAGCUGCAUUACGGGGCUGUGUUGGACAGAAGCAACUUUGUCUGUACAAAGUGCAAGCUGGUCUCCACAUUGGAAGAGAAGGUUCAAAGUCUAGGAGAAACAAGUAUCAACCCUGCAUUGCAUAAGAGAAAAUGAAGAUUUCCUGGACAGACAUCAGGAUAUGCUUCUACGGGCACAACAUUCUGAAAAAUCAGAGCAGGCUGCACAGCAGGGACAGAAGGACGGUAAAGAAAAUUAGCAGCAUGUGACCUCCAGAAGAAGAAAGAGGAGCAUCCAUGUACCAGCAAUGCAGAUACAGAGAGGCAGGGAGCAAGGAAAGAAAAGAAGAUGGGGGCCCACUGCCCACCUGUUACAUCACUCCUCUCCAUUAUUAUCUUCACACCUUCCUAAAACAACAUGGUAAACAAGGGAAGGCUUCCAGGGUUCAAUUAUGGAAUUCAACAGCAGCGAGUGAUCACCACUACAACACUGAUAAUAUAGACAGCAGAGCACCCCCACUACUCUUUGGUAAUCUGACGAAGCAGAAACCUGUGAGACUGGGCCUAGAGCCAUCUGUUACCACAGAAACAGGUUUAAUCUGCCCUAAAUCUACCUUGUAACUCUGUCCCAACAGUUAACAUGUGCAAUAAAAAAAUCUGUCUGUCCUGCAUAAUUUUACUGUCAAAUAAUUCAGAAAAUAUACAUGUUAUUUAAAUGAAAAAAAAAAAUCUCUGUUGGCUGGGCUGUCUUGGUGAGAACGGAGAAGAUGGACCUAGAAUUAAGUGUUGCUCCAACUCAUUCCUGAGGGGCUUUUCCUUUCAGUCUUCCUCAAUAGGCCAGCAUUCCACUUUGGCCAGGAUAGCUUACCUCAGAGCUAGCAUUUGUUGUCUUCAUGGGCAUACAAAGGCCUAAAGGCCACAGCUAUUUUCAACUGCACAGAGCCACAGAGGCUCGCAUGAUUAUGUGGGAAAGGGGCAUGUAUAAUGUUAUCUCUAUCAUUUGCAUAAUAGCAACAUAUCGAUAACCCAGGUGAAAUAAGGUAGAGAGUGUUUAGAGCUGGGCAGGAAUAUAAUAUAGGCAUACAGGCACUGCUAAGAAAAUGUAUAUCCUUUUUCUUUCUCAGUCUGUUUCUUUAGAUUGUAAGCUCUUCAGCUAGGACUUGCUUUACUCCAUAUUCUGUAACGUGCCUUGCAAACU